GUUUCUGAUGACAAUUAUCCCGAAUCCGGGAUGGGUGGUUCAGAAAGGUUAACUGACUAGCCUAGUUAAAUAAAGGUUUAAUAAAAUAAAAAUGCCAGAUAUGGAAACAUUUUUAUUAAAGUGGCAUUAAUAAAGUGACUAGUGAUCCAUUUGUUAGUGGCCAAUGAUUUCAAGUCUGUAUGUAGGCAGCAGCCUCUCUGUGUUAGUGAUGGCUGUUUAACAUUUUGAUGGCCUUGAGAUAGAAGCUAUUUUUCAGUCUCUGGGUCUCUUGUGAUAUAAUUUCGUGAUAUGUAACUUUUAAGUGGCAUGUACUUGAAACUAUCUACAUUGGUCAGUCCAAAAUUACUUUUCAAUUCUGUCAUGGAAAUACAUGUAUUUCCCGUUACCAAGUCUUUUAUGGUUUCAAUGGCUUUAGUUUACCAUGUUGGCCAAUUUAUCAGUGAGUUCUGAAAAGCUAUCCAAGGAUUAUUCCAUAGGGUUGUGUUUCUACAGAGGGAUAUUGGUUCUUGUAAAAUACUGUACGUUUCAUUUUCUUCCAUAUCGUUAUAGUGUUCUUAAAUUUGAAGUUGUUAAUGUUCUUAGCUUUUCCUUUGAAAAUAGUCACCUAAAAAUAUCUUGGGGAUGGGCAUUCAAUAUGUACCCAUUGUUCCUCUUUAGUGCAUUCAACUAUAUGUCGCAAGUUAAAGCCUUUGGUAGCAUGUUGAUACAUUUCCAAGUCUGGAAGGUUAAAACCACCGUCAGACUUAGGAAGAUGUAAAACGUUCCUUUUUAUUCUAUGAAUUUUAUUUGCCCAUAUAACCAGUGGGGUAAUUGGUAUUAUGGGUAUUAUUGAAAAUGGAUACAAAAACUUUGGCAGCCAUGCCAUUCUAAAGAGGUUUAUUCUACCUGUAAUAUUUAUGGGAAGAUUAUUCCAUUUGUUUAGCUCUCUUUUCAUAUUAUUCAGUAAUGGAAUAAAGUUAUAUUCAAAUAUUUGUUGUUUGUUAUCACUUACUAAGCAUCCUAAGUAUUUAAUAUUUUGUUGUUCCACUUAAAAGAUUGCUGUACAUCAUAUAUUUCCUAUCGCCAUUAUUUCUUUUUUUCCUAGUUCAUUUUAUAAGCUGAUAUUUUUGAAUAUUCUGAAAAUAUUUUAAGUAAAGGGGGCACUGUUUUCAGUAUUGGUUAGGUAUAUCAGGAGAUCAUCUGCAAAUACGUUUCGUUUAUAUUCAUGUUUACUAACACUGAUACCUGUUACAUUUAAGUCCUGUCUAAUUAUUUUUGCAAGCGGUUCAAUUGCCAGUGCAAACAGGAGAGGAGAGGACAUCCCUGCCUUGUUCCCCUUUCUAAAGCAAUUUCAUCAGAUAAUGUAUUGUUUGAAUAUAUUUUUGCUUUAGGAUAUUUAUACAAUAUUUGUAUUACAUGUAUUAUUUCAGCUGGAAAAUUGAAAGCUUCCACAGUUUUGAAUAGAAAAGUCAGUUCAAGACCAUCUAAAGCCUUUUCGGCAUCAACAGCCAUUAUUGAUUAAUCUAUAUCUUGUUUUUUUGCGUAAUGUAUUAAACUGAAACAUGUUCUUGUAUUUGUUCGUAAGUGUCUAUUUUUAAUGAACAAUGUUUGGUCAACAUGUAUCAAGUCUGGUAAGACUUUUGCCAUGCUAUUGCUUAUAAGCUUUGUUUUUAUUCUAUUAUCAGAAGUUAUUAAACGUAUGGGUCUGUAAUCAGGAGGGUACUCUCUAGAUUUUCCUGGUUUUAAUAGAACUGAAAUAGGUGUUUGAUACAUGGAACUAGGAAGUAUUGAAUUAAGUGAUAUAUAAAUGUGUAAUUCAUCGCAUUGUUAUUUCUAAUUGCCGCUUUUGUAUGUUUAUCUUUUAAAACUAUAACUGGUUUAGCAUGUAUUCAUUUUGUGAGCGCAGUGAGAUAUUUACCAGGUUUAUUUGCUGUUAAAUAUGCUUAAUUUGAGUUUAACCUAUAGUUAUUGGCUUUCUUCAAAAGUUAAAGAUAAUAUUGCUGCUUAUGUUCAGAAAAGUGAUUUUUUUCCUUCACCAUAUAAAGAUUAUUAUGGACAUUUUCUAAAAUAGUGAUUUAUUUUAAUUUCUAAAUCAGAUUUAAAUUUAGCAGAAUAUGAUAUUAUCAUUCCCCUAAUCAAUAUGCUUUUUAAAAGACAGCUUUUCAUCUAUCCAGAUGCCCAGAUAUUUUUAAGGGACACGAUCAAUAUGGACACCAUCCAAAGUACAUAUGCUUAAAUCAUCAGUUCUUUUUAUGCACUCUGGAGAUCAACAUAUACUUAGUUUUACCUACAUUCAACACUAAUUUCAGGUCAAGUUUUUCUGUAAUACAAUGAAGGCAGACUAGUUCAGAUAGAGCCUGGUCAACCAUGGGGGCAAUAACAUACACAACAGUAUCAUUGGCAUACAAGUGCAGGUUACAAUUGUUUUUACAGACAAGUCGAUAUUGUUAAUGUAACCAGUAAAAAGUACAGGACAUAGAAUCGACCCCUGCGGGAUACCUUUUGUAAUAUUCCCGGAAACCUGAUUUAACACCAUCAGUAGAUACACAUUAAGUUUUCUCUGUUUAACCUGUCUAGGAUGAGGGUGCCGCUAGCGGCACACCCCCCCCACCCCCACUGAAAAGGCAGAGCCGCGAAAUUCAAAAAAAUUUUUUUUUUUAAAUAUUUAACUUUCACACAUUAAAGUCCAAUACAGCUAAUGAAAGACACAGAUCUUGUGAAUCCAGCCAACAUGUCCGAUUUUUAAAAUGUUUUACAGGGAAGACACAAUAUGUAAAGAUGUAAAUCUAUUAGCUAAAAACACAUUAGCAUAAUCCACCAUCUUUUCUUUGUCCACCAACACCAGUAGCCAUCACCAAUUCGGCUAAACUAAGAUAUUUAUAGCCCCUAACCAAGAAAAAAACUCAUCAGAUGACAGUCUGAUAACAUAUUUAUGGUAUGGGAUAGGUUUUGUUAGAAAAAUGUGCAUAUUUCAGGUAGAUGGCAUAGGUUACAAUUGCACCCACCGUCACAAAUGGACUAGAAUAACUACAUAGAGCAACGUGUUUACCUACUUACUAAUCAUCAAACAUUUCGUAAAAAUACACAGCAUACACUAAUCGAAAGACACAGAUCCUGUGAAUACAGACAAUAUUUCAGAUUUUCUAAGUGUCUUACAGCGAAAACACAAUAAAUCGUUAUAUUAGCAUAGCACAUGUGCAAACAUUACCCCAGCAUUAAUUCUAGCCAAAGUGAGCGAUAACGUAAACAUCGCCAAAAUAUAUUAUUUUUUUCACUAACCUUCUCAGAAUUCUUCAGAUGACACCCCUGUAACAUCACAUUACAACAUGCAUAUACAGUUUGUUCGAAAAUGUGCAUAUUUAGCCACCAAAAUCAUGGUUAGACAAUGGAAAAAGUAGCCCAGCUGGUGAGAAAAUGUCCGUGCGCCAUAUUAGACAGUGAGCUACUCGUAUACAUAAAUACUCAUAAACGUGACUAAAAAAUAUAGGGUGGACAGCGAUUGAUAGACAAUUUAAUUCUUAAUACAAUCGCGGAAUUACAUUUUUUAAAGUAUCCUUACUUUUCAAUACAGUUUGCGCCAAGCGAAGCUACGUCAAAAAACAUGGCGUCCUAAGCCACUAACAUUUUUCGACAGAAACACGAUUUAUCAUAAUAAAAAUUUCCUACUUUGAGCUGUUCUUCCAUCAGUAUCUUGGGCAAAGGAUCCUUUCUUGGGUCUAAUCGUCUUUUGGUGGAAAGCUGUCCUCUUGCCAUGUGGAAAUGCCAACUGCGUUCAGCAUGAACUGGAAGCGUGCCCAGCGAUUCACAGCGUUUCAGAAAUAAAUGUCCCAAAAUCGCACUAAACGGAUAUAAAUUGCUAUAAAACACUUUAAAUUAACUACCUUAUGAUGUUUUUAACUCCUAUAACGAGUCUUAACAUGACCGGAGAAAGAUUACUCCCAACACUAAUGCUUGGAACAGGUGCGGGUCGGUGUCCUCCAGGCGCAUGACGCAGCUCCAAAAGAGUGACUAGCUACAGGGUUUUUUAAUUUAUAGUGCCUGUGAACGCGCAAUCGACCCCAUUCAAAUCGUCAUCACGUAAAGGCAUCCAGGGGAAGACGUAAGCAGUGUCCGUAUACUCAUAGCAAUAACAGUGGCCUUUUAACUGACUCCAGAUCAGGGGCCAAAAUUUCUGAAAUCUGACUCCAUGUCAGGGAAAUUGCUGUAGAAUGGGUUCUGUUCCACUUAGAGACAAAAUUUCAACUCCUAUAGAAACUAUAGACUGUUUUCUAUCCAAUAAUAAUAAUAAUAUGCAUAUUGUACGAUCAAGAAUUUUGUAGGAAGCCGUUUCAAAAAAUACACGAUUAGCAUAAAUAGUGACAACAGCGCCCCCAGCCUCAACAGGUUAAGUAAUUAUUAAACCAGUUGCAUGCAGCUUGGUCUAGGCUAAUUGAGGAAAGCCUCUGAAUUAGCAGUGAGUGAUCAACAGUAUUGAAAGCCUGUGACAGGUCAAUGAAGAGGGCAGCACAAUAUAGCCUUUUAUCCAUACAGUCAAACACAUAAUUUAUAACUAGGGAUGGUCUAAAACCUGACUGACAUACAUUUAGAAUACAUUGCAAAGAUGAGGAAGAUCUUAGCUUAUAAUUAGUCAAGCAUUCUAAUAUUUUAGCAAGGCAAGAAAGUUUAGAAAUAGGACGAUAAUUAUUUAGGUCACGGGUCACCAAAUUUGUGAAGGGGGAGUGCAUGGGCCGCCUUCCAAACCUUGGGGAUAGUAGCAGAUAUAAUCGUCAGGUAAAACACUACGGAGGGGUUGUGUGUCUAACUGAUCCAGCUGCUUCUUUCCUCAGGUGCGUCUGAUGCUGGUCCUGGUCGCAGUUAUAUGUACCCUGUCAGGUAUCGGUGUGUCCCAGGUCCUCACCACCUACAUAAAGAACCUGGUCAUCAGCCGGCCAGACAAGAAGAGCAAGAAGCAGCAGGACGCCAUCUACCCCAUCAAAAACGAGGUGGCCAACGGGAUGAUUCUGGUCAUGACCUCCUUCCUCAUGUAACGGAUGUGAAAUGGCUAGCUAGUUAGCGGUGGUGCGUGCUAAUAGCGUUUCAAUCGGUUACGUCACUCGCUUUGAGACCUUUAAGUAGUGGUUCCCCUUGCUCUGCAAGGGCCGUGUCAUUUGUGGAGCGAUGGGUAACGAUGCUUCAUGGGUGUCAGUUGUUGAUGUGUGCAGAGGGUCCCUGGUUCGCGCCCGGGUCGGGGCGAGGGGACGGACUAAAGUUAAGCUGUUACACUCAUCACCUACACUUUUCACUCCACCUGGGUGACCAGCUACGCAUACCCCUCCCCUGCUAUCGUCCUGUCAGCCCACGGCAGAGAUGGCAGCCAAAUCAUCUUUGAUGACUUUAGAGAGGACUACUACUGGCUCCGCCACAACACCCCAGUGGAUGCUAAAGUGAUGUCAUGGUGGGAUUACGGCUAUCAGAUAACGGCUAUGGCCAAUCGAACAAUUCAGUGGACAACAACACGUGGAACAACACACACAUCUCCAGAGUGGGCCAGAGUGCCCCCCUUGCUAUGACUAAGUGAAAAAAGUUGAGAUAGGCAACGAGGACUUUGAGCUGGACGAGACCUACGCUACAGAGCACUGGCUGGUCAGGAUAUUCAAGGUAAACAACCCCCCCCCCCCCCACCCCCCCAAUCAGGAACUGAUUUAGACCUGGGACACUAGGUGGGUAUAAUUAAUGGUCAGGUAGAACAGAAACCCAGCAAGCCUUGGACCUUGUAGGGUAAGAGUUGAAUACCCUUGCCAAUUAGAUUUCCUCAUUGUUUAUACCAAGGAGUCAAAAUACAUCUUUGGGAUUUAUUUUUAAACAACACAUUAUUAACACUGUCCUGUGUAAAAGACCUGGAUAACCAAGGGCUCUGACGGACUUAAAGCCCUUUGACCCGUCAGCGUCAUACACCCCUUUUAGCAUACAGCACUGAAAAGCCUUCCCCUGUUGUCUACGGAUGAGUGUGAAAUUAAACUUUUUUAUAAUUUUGUUUGGAAAUGCUGUUUGUGGAUGAUUCUUUUUUUAGUACUUACCAAUGUGGCAUCUCCCUCGUUUGGGAAUGAAUGCGGAAUGGAAGGUGUUUCAUAACAUCCAAUCAAAGGUCAAGGAGUGAUUUCUGCAAUCAAUGGCCAAAUAAUGAUAUUGUCAGUCACUGAGCUUUGAAUUUUUACAAUGUGGUCAAUUAAAGAGGCAUAAAUGUGACAAAAUGGCAUUUUAUCAGUCUUCCUGUUUUGAAUUUGCUUUGUAUUUCAAUCAAGUUUAUUUUCAAUCAAGUUUAUUUUAUAUAGCCCUUCGUACAUCAGCUAAUAUCUCGAAGUGCUGUACAGAAACCCAGCCUAAAACCCCAAACAGCAAGCAAUGCAGGUGUAGAAGCACGGUGGCUAGGAAAAACUCCCUAGAAAGGCCAAAACCUAGGAAGAAACCUAGAGAGGAACCAGGCUAUGAGGGGUGGCCAGUCCUCUUCUGGCUGUGCCGGGUGGAGAUUAUAACAGAACUAUGCCAAGAUGUUCAAAAUGUUCAUAAGUGACAAGCAUGGUCAAAUAAUAAUCAUGAAUAAUUUUCAGUUGGCUUUUCAUAGCCGAUCAUUAAGAGUUGAAAACAGCAGGUCUAGGACAGGUGGCGGUUCCAUAACCGCAGGCAGAACAGUUGAAACUGGAAUAGCAGCAAGGCCAGGUGGACUGGGGACAGCAAGGAGUCAUCAUGCCGUGACGUAUGGUCCUAGGGCUCAGGUUCUCAGAGAGAGAGAAAGAAAGAGAGAACGAGAGAAUUAGAGAGAGCAUACUUAAAUUCACACAGGACACUGGAUAAGACAGGAGAAGUACUCCAGGUAUAACCAACUGACCCUAGCCCCCCGACACAUAAACUACUGCAGCAUAGAUACUGGAGGCUGAGACAGGAGCGGUCAGGAGACACUGUGGCCCCAUCCGAAGAUACCCCCGGACAGGGCCAAACAGGAAGGAAAAACCCCACCCACUUUGCCAAAGCACAGCCCCCGCACCACCUAGAGGGAUAUCUUCAACCACCAACUUACAAUCCUGAGACAAGGCCGAGUAUAGCCCACAAAGAUCUCCACCACAGCACAAACCAAGGGGGGCGCCAACCCAGACAGGAAGAUCACGUCAGUAACUCAACCCACUCAAGUGACGCACCCCUCCCAGGGACGGCAUGAAAGAGCACCAGUAAGCCAGUGACUCAGCCCCUGUAAUAGGGUUAGAGGCAGAGAAUCCCAGUGGAGAGAGGGGAACCGGCCAGGCAGAGACAGCAAGGGCGGUUCGUUGCUCCAGAGCCUUUCCGUUCACCUUCACACUCCUGGGCCAGACUACACUCAAUCAUAUGACCUACUGAAGAGAUGAGUCUUCAGUAAAGACUUAAAGGUUGAGACCGAGUCUGCGUCUCUCACAUGGGUAGGCAGACCGUUCCAUAAAAAUGGAGAUCUAUAGGAGAAAGCCCUGCCUCCCGCUGUUUGCUUAGAAAUUCUAGGGACAAUUAGGAGGCCUGCGUCUUGUGACCGUAGCGUACGUAUAGGUAUGUACGGCAGGACCAACUCGGAAAGAUAGGUAGGAGCAAGCCCAUGUAACGCUUUAUAGGUUAACAGUAAAACCUUGAAAUCAGCCCUUGCCUUAACAGGAAGCCAGUGUAGGGAAGCUAGCACUGGAGUAAUAUGAUCAAAUUUCUUGGUUCUAGUCAGGAUUCUAGCAGCCGUAUUUAGCACUAACUGAAGUUUAUUUAGUGCUUUAUCCGGGUAGCCGGAAAGUAGAGCAUUGCAGUAGUCUAACCUAGAAGUAACAAAUGCAUGUAUUAAUUUUUCUGCAUCAUUUUUGGACAGAAAAUGUCUGAUUUUUGCAAUGUUACGUAGAUGGAAAAAAGCUGUCCUUGAAACAGUCUUGAUAUGUUCGUCAAAAGAGAGAUCAGGGUCAAGAGUAACGCCGAGGUCCUUCACAGUUUUAUUUGAGACGACUUUACAACCAUCAAGAUGAAUUGUCAGAUUUAACAGAAGAUCUCUUUGUUUCUUGGGACCUAGAACAAGCAUCUCUGUUUUGUCCGAGUUUAAGAGUAGAAAGUUUUCAGCCAUCCACUUCCUUAUGUCUGAAACACAGGCUUCUAGCGAGGGCAAUUUUGGGGCUUCACCAUGUUUCAUUGAAAUGUACAGCUGUGUGUCAUCCGCAUAGCAGUGAAAGUUAACAUUAUGUUUUCAAAUAACAUCCCCAAGAGGUAAAAUAUAUAGUGAAAACAAUAGUGGUCCUAAAACGGAACCUUGAGGAACACCGAAAUGUACAGUUGAUUUGUCAGAGGACAAACCAUUCACAGAGACAAACUGAAAUCUUUCCGACAGGUAAGAUCUAAACCAGGCCAGAACUUGUCCGUGUAGACCAAUUAGGGUUUCCAGUCUCUCCAAAAGAAUGUGGUGAUCGACGGUGUCAAAGGCAGCACUAAGGUCUAGUAGCACGAGGACAGAUGCAGAGACUCGGUCUGACGCCAUUAAAAGGUAAUUUACCACCUUCACAAGUGCAGUCUCAGUGCUAUGAUGGGGUCUAAAACCAGACUGAAGCAUUUCGUAUACAUUGUUUGUCUUCAGGAAGGCAGUGAGUUGCUGCGCAACAGCUUUUUCUAAAAAAAGCUGUUACAUGAUGUUAUAUUUAAAAUAUAACAUCAUGUAACCUUGGCCAGAUUAAUUUUCCCCAAGAGAUUUAUAGAAGUCAACAUUGGACAACCUUUCAGUUCAGAAUUAUUUAGAUGGUUUUGCUUACUGAAUACCAAGACGACGAUAUUAUACUGAACAGAAAUAUAAAUGCAACAUGCAACAAUUUCAAUGAUUUUACUGAGUUACAGUUCAUAUAAUGAAAUCAGUCAAUUGAAAUACAUUCAUAUGCCCUAUUCUAUGGAUUUCACAUGACUUGGCAGGUGCAUAGACAUGGGAGGGCCCACCCACUUGGGAGCCAGGUCCACCUACUGGGGAGCCAGGCCCAGCCAAUCAGAAAGAGUUUUAACCAAGAAAAGGGCUUUAUUACGGACAGAAUUGCUCCUCUGUUUCAUAAACUGUCUGGGUGGCUGGUCUCAUGAUCCCGCAGGUGAAGAAGCCGGAAUUUGGAGGUCCUGGGCUGACGUGGUUACAAGUGGUCUGCGAUUGCAAGACCGGUUGGACGUACUAACAAAUUCUCUAAAAUGACAUUGGAGGCAGCUUAUGGUAGAGAAAUUAACAUUCAAUUCUCUGGCAACAGCUCUGGUGGACAUUUCUGCAGUCAGCAUGUCAAUUGCACACUCCCUCAAAAUUUGAAAUGUCUGUGGUAUUGUGUUGUGUUGUGUAAUGAUCAUGCUGUUUAAUCAGCUUCUUGAUAUGCCACACCUGUCAGGUGGAUGGAUUUUCGUUUGAAACAAGAAAUUCUCACUAACAGAAAUGUAAACAAAUUUGUACACAACAUUUUAGAGAAAUAAUCUUUUGUGCGUAUGAACAUUUUCUGGGAUCUUUUAUUUCAGCUCAUGAAAUAUGGAACCAAUACUUUGCAUGUUGCGUUUACAUAUGUUUUCAGUAUAUUUUAACUGUGGGGAAAAUGUACUAUAUAGGCAGUGGUACUUGUGGUCAGGUUUUUCUAAAUGGGUAUUUUAUUAGGAUCCCCAUUAGCUGUUGCGAAAGUAGCAGUUACACUUUCUGGGGUUCUCACACAUCAUAAAACAUGUCAUAAUACAGAACAUUAAUAGACAAGAACCGCUCAAGGACGGAACUAAAUAAACUCAGCAAAAAAAGAAACGUCCCCUUUUCAGGACUCUGUCUUUCAAAGAUAUUUUGUAAAAAUCCAAAUAACUUCACAGAUCUUCAUUGUAAAGGGUUUAAACACUGUUUCCCAUGCUUGUUCAAUGAACCAUAAACAAUGAAUUAACAUGCACCUGUGGAACGGUCGUUAAGACACUAAUAGCUUACAGACGGUAGGCAAUUAAGGUCACAGUUAUGAAAACAUAGGACACUAAAUAGGCCUUUCCACUGACUCUGGAAAAACACCAAAAGAAAGAUGCCCAAGGUCCCUGCUCAUCUGUGUGAACGUGCCUUAGGCAUGCAGCAAGGAGGCAUGAGGACUGCAGAUGUGGCAGGGCAAUAAAUUUCAAUGUCCGUACUGUGAGACGCCUAAGACAGCACUACAGGGAGACAGGACGGACAGCUGAUCGUCCUCGCAGUGGGAGACCACGUGUAAUAACACCUGCACAGGAUCGGUACAUCCGAACAUCACACCUGCGGGACAGGUACAGGAUGGCAACAACAACUGCCCGAAUUACACCAGGAACGCACAAUCCCUCCAUCAGUGCUCAGACUGUCCGCAAUAGGCUGAGAGAGGCUGGACUGAGGGCUUGUAGGCCUGUUGUAAAGCCAGGUCCUCACCAGACAUCACCGGCAACAACGUCGCCUAUGGGCACAAACCCACCGUCGCUGGACCAGACAGGACUGGCAAAAAGUGCUCUUCACUGACUAGUCACGGUUUUGUCUCAUCAGGGGUGAUGGUCAGAUUCGCGUUUAUCGUAGAAGGAAUGAGCGUUCCACUGAGGCCUGUAAUCUGGAGCGGGAUCGAUUUGGAGGUGGAGGGUCCAUCAUGGUCUGGGGCGGUGUGGCACAGCAUCAUUGGAUUGAGCUUGUUGUCAUUGCAGGCAAUCUCAAUGCUGUGCGUUACAGGGAUGACAUCCUACUCCCUCAUGUGGUACCCUUCCUGCAGGCUCAUCCUGAAAUGACCCUCCAGCAUGACAAUGCCACCAGCCGUACUGCUCGUGCUGUGCUUGAUUUCCUGCAAGACAGGAAUGUCAGUGUUUUGCCAUGGCCAGCAAAGAGCCCGGAUCUCAAUCCCAUUGAGCACGUCUGGGACCUGUUGGAUUGGAGGGUGAGGGCUAGGACCAUUCCCCCCAGAAAUGUCCGGGAACUUGCAGGUGCCUUGGUGGAAGAGUGGGGUAACAUUUCACGGCAAGAACUGGCAUAUCUGGUGCAGUCCUUGAGGAGGAGAUGCACUGCAGUUCUUAAUGCAGCUGGUUGCCACACCAGAUACUGACUGUUACUUUUGAUUUUGACACCCCCUUUGUUUAGCGACACAUUAUUCCAUUUAUGUUAGUCACAUGUCUGUGGAACUUGUUCAGUUUAUGUCUCAGUUGUUGACUCUUGUUAUGUUCAUACAAAUAUUUACACAUGUUAAGUUUGCUGAAAAAAAACAGUUGACAGUGAGAGGAUGUUUCUUUUUUUGCUGAGUUUACAUUUAAAAAACGGCACACAGCCUACAUUUCAAGAAAAACACUGAAUAUCUAGGUCAAAUAUGGGAGAGGAGUUGUGAGGUGUUGCUUCAUCUGUUUUUUUUAAAGCAGGUUUGCUGUUCAGUUGAGCAAUAUGAGAUGGAAGGGAGUUCCAUGCAAUAAUGGCCCUAUAUAAUACUUAUGCUUUCUUUAAUUUGUUCUGGAUUUGGGGACUGUGGAAAUACCCCUGUUGGCAUGUCUGGUGGGGUGUGUCAGAACUGUCUGUAAAUUGACAAUGCAAACCAUUUGGAAUUUUCAAAACAUUCAUACUUCUUAUAAAAAUAAGUGAUGCAGUCAGUCUUUCCUCAACUCUUAGCCAAGAGAGACUGGCAUGCCUAGUAUUUGCAUAUUAGCCCUCUGAUUACAAUGAAGAGCAAGACGUGCCGCUCUGUUCUGGGCCAGCUAAAGCUUAACUAGGGCUUUCUUUGCAGCACUUGACCACAUGACUGGACAAUAAUCAAGAUAAGACAAAACUAGAGCCUGCAGGACUUGCUUUUUGGAGUGUGGUGUCAAAAAAGCAGUGCAUCUCUUUAUUAUUGACAGACCUCUUCCCAUCUUUACAACCAUUAAAUCUAUAUGUUUUGACCAUGACAGUUUACCAUCCAAGGUAACACAAAGUAAUUUAGUCUCCUCAACUUGUUCAACAGCCACACCAUUCAUUACCAGAUACAGCUGAGGUCUAUAACUUAGGAAAUGAAAUGUAUUAAAUACAAUGCUCUUAGUUUUAGAGAUGUUCAGGACCAGUUUAUUGCUGGCCAUACAUUCCAAAACUGACUGAAAUUCCUUGUUCAGGGUUUCAGUGACUUCAUUAGCUGUGGUUGCUGGAAUGUAUACGGUUGAAUCAUCAGCAUACAUGGACACACGGGUGUCACGACGUGGCCUUUUGGGUGCAUAUUGUGGCUCCUCCCCCCUUCUCUCUCUCUCUCUCUCUCUCCUAUGUCAGGUUUUACAAUGGUCAUAAGUACUUGGUAGAAACUGACAUGCAGUAUUUUUUUAUUUCACCUUUAUUUAACCAGGUAGGCUAGUUGAGAACAAGUUCUCAUUUGCAACUGUGACCUGGUAUUGAGGCAGAGAGUCUACCAGAACAAAGAGCUUAUCUUUGUUAAAAACCUCUAAUCCCCAAAAUGGGAGAACUAAACAAUAUUUAUAUUUUUCAGAAUGUGGGAAUGGUCCGUCGACAUUUGAAGAACAAUCCAAUCGAAGUUGUUUGAUUUUAACAUCAUGAAGGACGGGAAACACACAUAAAUGUAUAUCUUAAUGUGUAUAUUUCCCAGCUGUCAGGUUUACUUUUAAAUAUUGUGAAACAUAUGUGAUUAAACAUGAAACUAUUUGUGAAAAGAUGUAAUGUGAUGUUAACCUUCUAAAUGAGUAUGGAUUUUCAUAUAAAGAUUUAGUAGUCAGUGGCCACACCCCCAUGAGCCCAGACAUCACAUUAGGCAUCAUAGAACUGCCCCUUCUUCCACAGAGUAUAAAACCCACUUCCUACAAAAUAUACAUUAAGUCAGAGAACGCCGGGAAGGAGUCCCCACGUUGGAAUGGCUACAAUUCUAUAGGCCACGGAGACCAUACAGAUGUAGUUUUGGCUACAUGGCUAGAAAUGGUUAAACUCUGAGACUAUUGAUUCACUACAAAGGGAGCAAAUUCUAGACGACAUGAAUUACUAGUCUGUAGUUAGAAAUUACGUAAACCUAGAACGAGAAUACCGACAACCGCCGAAGCAUCUAUUUAUGAGAACAUUUCCAAAUGGUACUCUGAAGUAUCCAUUCUAAACACUUACAACCACGAAAGACAUUGUGACUUCUGGGAAAGUUAACCUGAGACUCUGAUGAACUCUACAGGAUGAUCAAGUGUUUUCAACGGAGAGACAACGACAUACAAGCGUAAAUAUGUACAUUGCAAUUUCUUUCAGAAUGAGUGGCCGUUCAUGUGCAACGUAUUAGCAUGUCCAUGAGUACAAUUAUCAACUGUUUGUGUAAUCCAUCUAGACUUUCCUACUCUUAUUCUGCCCCAACUCUUUCCUUUGUAUACCAAGCCGUCACAUCGGCUUAGCCCACUAGGGACUUUUCUAUCAUUGUUAGUAACCAAUAUCUACUGUUUGUUUGUUUUGUAUUUCUGUGAUUAUUUUGUUAGUAAAUAAACAAUUAAGCCAAUUUGUAUAUUGCUGAUUCAUUAUGGAAACUAGGGUCCGUGAAGAAAACCAAGAAUUUUACGACGUUUGGAAUGAGACUAACAAAGGUAACAAUUAAUAAUCAUUAAUAGAUGACUGUAAUUGAUAAGAUAUUAAAAUAUCUGAAGAGUUAUAUUCGGUAAAUUAUAACUCUAAAUCUAAAUAUUUUCCUGUGGUGCCCUGACUUCCUAGUUAAUGUUUACAUGAUUAGUUUGAUCACAUAAUGAUUAAACCUAGAGAAAUUAUUUAAUAUAAAUAAGUCUUCACAUUUAAUGAUAGUCCAGACACAACACAGGCUUUGUUUAAUGACAGUGGCAGGUCAUUGGUAAAAAUAGAAAAGAGUAUAGGGCCUAGAGAGCUCCCCUGUGGUACACCACACACAUGUUUACAUUAGAGAGGCUUCCAUUAAAGAAAGUUAUAUUAGAUACCUCUGAAUCCACCAUAUGGCAGAGGUUGAAAAGCCAUAAAACAUACGUUUUCUCAACAACAGGUUAUGGUCAAUAAUAUCAAAGGCUGCGCUAUAAACAGUACAGAUCCCACAAUCUUCUUGUUAUCAAUUUCUUUCAACCAAUCAUCAGUCAUUUGUGUCAGUGCAGUACAUGUUGAGUACCCUUCUCUGUAAGAAUGCUGAAAGUCUGUCAAUUUGUUUACAUAGAAAUAGCAUUGUAUUUGGUCAAACACCAUUUUUUUCAAUAGUUUGCUAAGAGCUGGCAACAAGCUGAUAGGUCUGCUUUUAGUACCAGUAUAGACCGCUUUACCACUCUUGGGUAGCGGAAUAACUUUGGCUUCCCUCCAGGCCUGAAGACAAAUACCUUCCUCUAGACUCCGAUUAACCUUUUCUCAAUAGGGGGUGCUGUUUUCACUUUGUAAAAAUUUCGUUCCCAAAUUAAACUGCCUCGUACUCAAUUCUUGCUCGUACAAUAUGCAUAUUAUUAUUACUAUUGGAUAGAAAACACUCUAGUUUCUAAAACCGUUUGAAUUAUAUCUGUGAGUAAUACAGAACUCAAGUUGGAGCAAACUUCCUCUGAGGAAGUGAGAAAUCUGAAAUAAGGCAGGCUGUUCUAGGGUCAGUUUAUUCAUUUGCAUGUCUUCUAUUGGUCGAGAUGCACUGCAUACGCCUUCCCCUAGAUGUCAGCAAAUAGUGAGAAUUGGAAUGGAGUUGCUAGGCAGAUCUGAGGCCAUAUAAAGGGUCUUGGAACGUGGGGUGCAGUCUUUUCAACAUUCGCCAUGACGCAAGACAGACCUCAGGAUGGCGUUCUGGAAAGCUCCCGUUAUAGGCCUUAGAUAUAUCCGGCUCUGAUUUUAUUCGAUAUAGAUGUUAAAGACAUCAUAAUGUUGUUAUUUUAAACCGAGUUAUAUCAGUUUAUAUCAGUAUAUUGCGAUUUUCGUAUAUUUCUUUGUGCUGCGUUAUAGUGAGUCGGGCACGUCUUCGCCACAUGGCUAAUGUUUACUGCUAAUUCCAAAGUUGAAGGCGACAAUCUACAACCGAGCAACGAUUCCUCUGGACAAGGGACAACUUGCCCAAGAUUCUGAUGGGAGCUCAUCAAAAAGUAAGAAGUAUUUAUGAUGUUAAAACGACAUUUGAAAAAUGUCAAACUACUAUUCCGCCAUUAAUUUCGGUGCGGUCUCGCUUUAACGCACGCUGUAUGUCGUAGUAACGUUAAUUUUAAAAAUCUAACACAGCGGUUGCAUUAAGAACUAAUGUAUCUUUCAUUUGCUGUCCAACCUGUAUUUUCUAGUCAAGUUUAUGAUUAGUUACUGAUUAGAUUAGGUGCCUCUCCCAAGAUUUCUCCCGACAUUUUGUUGGCAGCUUGGCUACUAUUCUCAUUGAAUAACCACGAUUUGUGCCGCUAAAUAUGCACAUUUUCGAACAAACUCUAUAUGUAUUGUGUACUAUGAUGUUAUAGGACUGUCAUCUGAAGAAGUUUGAGAAGGUUAGUGAAAAAAUGUAUAUCUUUUGCUGGUUUAUUCGUUAUCGCUAUUGUUGGCUUGAAUCAAUGCUGUUGUGGGGUUGGCUAUUGUAGUAAGCUAAUAUAAUGCUAUAUUGUGUUUUCGCUCUAAAACACUUAAAAAAUCUGAAAUAUUGGCUGGAUUCACAAGACCUUUGUCUUUCAUUUGCUGUACGCGGUGUAUUUUUCAUAAAUGUUUUAUGAUGAGUAUUUAGGUAAUUCACGUUGGUCUCUGUAGUUAUUCUAGUUGCUUUGGUGAGAGUUGUGAUGGUGGCUGCAAUGUAAAACUAUGAUUUAUACCUGAAAUAUGCACAUUUUUCUAACAAAACAUAUGCUAUACAAUAAAUAUGUUAUCAGACUGUCAUCUGAUGAAGUUGUUUCUUGGUUAGUGACUAUUUAUAUCUUUAUUUGGUCGAAAUUGUGAUAGCUACCUAUGCAGGAAAAAAAUGGUGGGAAAAAAAGUUGUGUCUUUUGCUAUCGUGGUUAGCUAAUAGAAAUACAUAUUGUGUCUUCCCUGUAAAACAUUUUAAAAAUCAGCAAUGAUGGCUGGAUUCACAAGAUGUGUAUCUUUCAUCUGGUGUCUUGGACUUGUGAUUUAAUGAUAUUUAGAUGCUAGUAUUUACUUGUGACGCUAUGCUAGGCUAUGCUAGUCAGCUUUUUUACUGAUGGGGGUGCUCCCGGAUCCAGGAUUGUGAUGAAGUAGAUGUUAAAUAUAUGACAGAUAGGAGUGGCCAUCGAGUCAGCUACCAUCCUCAGAAGCUUUCCAUCUAAGUUGUCAAUGCCAGGUUUGUCAUUAUUGAUCGCUAACAAUUUUUCCACCUCUCCCACACUAAUUUUAUAAAAUUCUUACAAUGCUUUUUUUAUUCAUGAAUACAAUGGCUCUCUGUUCAUUGUUGGCAUUUCCUGCCUAAAUUUCCCCACUUUUCCAAUGAAGUAAUCAUUAAAAUAAUUGGCAACAUCAAAUGGUUUUGUGACGAAUAAGCCAUCUGAUUCGAUGAAAGAUGUAGUUGAAUUUCUUAAGUUUUUUUCCAUCAUUCCUUAUAUCAUUGAUCUUGGCUUCAUAAUACAGUAUAUUCUUCUUUUUGUUAAGUUUAGUCACACAAUUUCUCAAUUUGCAGUAAGUGCAUCUAGAUGCAUCUGAUCUAGAUGCAUCAGAUGUGCAUCUAGACUCAUUAGCCACUCCUUUUUCCCCAUCUCUUUCAACCAUACAGCUUUUCAAUUCCACAUCAAACCAUGGAGCAGUUCUAAGAGUCAGUUGCUUAAUAACAAGUGCAUGGUUAUCAAUAAUCGGAAGAAUCAAUUUCAUAAAUGUAUCAAGUGCAACGUCUGGAUGCUCCUUAUUAAUCACAUCAGACAAACAAAUAUUUUUAACAUCAUGCACAUAAGUCACAGCAAAAUAUUUUGUAUGAUCUCUUUUCUCUCUCUAUGAACUGGGACUGACUGACCCAGCUGACAUGGACCAGCUCGGAAGUCCCCGGCGUCUACAUCCCCGAGAGGAUCCGGGGCUUACCCAAGUUCCUCCAAGAGCCUCCGAAGACUACCGAUUCACCUCUUCCCGAGCCGAUGCAGCUCGGGCAGGGCUUUCUCCAGCCGAACGCUUACGCAGACUUGACACCUAGAGUUGUCUGUAUUGCGGUAUUGCUGGUCAUUUUGUUUCUACCGGUCCCUUCAUCGUGGGCUGGAGCCCGUCCUGCCACAGUCAUUGCCUGAAGUCAGCUCUGACUGCCUCGGGACGUGUUCCUGGGGGGCUUGGAAAUUGCCCCGGACCUCUCCGCCAGCCCCACAGAGUACCAGGACCUCCGGGAGGGGUUCAGUAAGGCCCGGUCCACUUCGCUUCCGCAGCACCGACCGGUAUCCAAGCAGGUCAAGCCAGAUGCGCUGGCGCGCUGCUAUUGUCCCGUGGCUGCACCCCCGGAAGCCGAGACCUUACCCCCCCCCCUCGCUCCAAGAUCAUUAACCCCUCUGUUGUCCGUCCUCUGUUGCCCCGUACCCUCCGUAUACUUCCUAUCUUUCCUGUGUCUAGAACUAAAACCAUGUCUUAACUUUGUCUCCUGUUUCCAGGCCCAUCCCUCUCCCCUGUCUCAUCGACGGCCAACCAGCGUACAUGGUGAGAGGUCUCCUGAAGGUUCGACCUCGAUGCAGGGGAUUCCAGUACCUGGUUGACUGGGAGGGUUAUGUUACUGUUAUGCCCUGAUCUGUUUCACCUGUCUUUGUGCUUGUCUCCACCCCCCUCCAGGUGUCGCCAAUCUUCCCCAUUAUCCCCUGUGUAUUUACAGUGGGGCAAAAAAGUAUUUAGUCAGCCACCAAUUGUGCAAGUUCUCCCACUUAAAAAGAUGAGAGAGGCCUGUAAUUUUCAUCAUAGGUACACUUCAACUAUGACAGACAAAAUGAGAAAAAAAAUCCAGAAAAUCACAUUGUAGGAUUUUUAAUGAAUUUAUUUGCAAAUUAUGGUGGAAAAUAAGUAUUUGUUGUUUUAGUGUUGGUCAGGACGUGAGCUGAGUGGGCAUUCUAUGUUGUCUGUUUCUAUGUGGGGUUUCUUGUAUGGCCUGAUAUGGUUCUCAAUCAGAGACAGGUGUUUUGCGUUGUCUCUGAUUGGGAACCAUAUUUAGGUAGCCUGUUUUGUGUUGGGGUUUGGUGGGUGGUUGUCUUCUGUCUAUGUGUCUAUGCACCAGAUAGGACUGUUUCGGUUUUGCCACAUUUGUUAUUUUGUAUUUUGUAGUGUUCACGGUUUUGUCGUUAUUAAACAUGAUGAACACUAACUACGCUGCGUCUUGGUCCGAUCCCUGCUACACCUCCUCUUCAGACGAAGAGGAGGAAAU